GUGAAUCAUCGAAUCUUUGAACGCAAAUUGCACUUUCUGGUAUUCCGGAAAGUAUGCCUGUUUGAGGGUCAGUUAAAUAAAAAUCGGUGUUGUUGCUGCUUUUCGUGGUGACGCGCCGGAAUUGAGUUGUCUUACCUUCGGUUAAGUGACUUAAACUUUUGCAUGAUUUUCGAAGGUAUUUUAAUUUUUUACGUACGUUUGAGAUAUUGACUACUUUAUUAGGAUCGGUCAUAAUUAUGAUUCGCACCUAUAAUUAUUCAUUAAUUGACCUCAAAUUAGG
rnacentral:misc_RNA from 1 species